GGGCACUAAUUCACCGCGACUGCAGUCUGCUUUUGCAGCAUCAGCUACAUUUCUUUUCCAUAUGCUAACUCCCUUUUAGCUUAAUUUUCCCAUUACCCAGCAGUAACACUGAGCAACUGUGUUGGGCUGUAUUCAAAUGCAAAUUAAUAACCCCUUCUGUCCAUUAGCUCCGCUGUUUCUUGUCUGGCCAAAGCAACUGGAAGCAGUGAGGAGCGCAGUUCAGCGGUCGGACAGAGGGGCCCUGUCUGGGCUGGGCUUGCUGUUCAUCCCAAGAGCAGACACAAAGCAGCAGGCUGUCACAAGGAGAGGUCCCUCACCAAGGCGUUUCCUGUCAUAUAACCCCUGGCCCCCACGCUGCUGGCAGACGCUGUAGCUCUCCCAACGCCAGUGUUUGACAUAUGCAAUUCACACAAUGCCUGUGCUGUGCUGUGCUCUGGAUUGGAAACAUCCACUGGAUUGGCAUGGAGAAUCUUUGAAGCAGGACCACUUGGGACUCAAAAUGCCACAACACACUGGGAGGAAAAAGUGCUGUAAUUCCUCUCCAGUGUCACCCAGAAAAUGAAGCUCCACCCAUCUCCAGCUGGCCAGGUUAUGUAAACAGACAUUCAAUCAAGAGGCAUCAAGGCAUCAAAGAGAGCAUCCCCCUCUCAGAGCGAUCUCUGCAAUAAUGAUCAGAAAUCUCAGACUGUACACACUGAAAAGUUAUGUCUAGAAUGACUUGUACACCAAAUAUGAAUGGGAAAGGUAUGUAACUCAUGUUUGGAUAAUGAAUGAACAAAAGAUACUUGUAAUUAUUUCACAAAUAGGAAGGGAGGAAAAUAGUCAUAGAAUAAAUUACUUGCCAUGAAAAAUUCAUAGCUGAUAGAAAUCCCAAACCUUAGACCUCAUGAUAGACAAAAAAAGAUAGUUGUUGAAGCUUUCCACUUCUGUGUUGCUCAGAAUAUUGCUUACGUUUGCAUAUAAGAUCAUCUCACAUUCUGUUCUUCCAGUGCAGAAUAAUAAAUGUGUCAGCUCAGGUAUCUGUUGAAACUCAGCCAUCUGCAAGAUGUUGCCAUGGAAAGAGCCUAUUGCACAUGAGUUUUUAACUAUGGAGAUUGUUUUUAACUACGGAGAUUGUACUUUUUGUACAGGACUUUGCUUUUUUGUACCCUUUGGAAAGAGUAAAUUCCCUGGCAGAUCAGUGCUGUUGCUUAACCUUAGACACACAAAAAGUAAAGGCAAUGCUCGUUCAACAUGGACAUGUGACACCAGGCAAGGAGAGGCUUUUUUACAAGUGAUGAAAAUACAUUUUCUGGACAAGGAUGUGAGAAAUGAAUCCAACAGUGACUGAAAGAAAUCUGACAAAUGUUACAUGAAGCAGAUCAACUUUCAACUCUGACCUAACCACAAAGGACAGUUACAAACUAAAGGCAAGCAAAACAACCCUUGUCUAGCUGGCCUUUCUUAUCUGUUAAGAGGUACAGCAACUGAGCUACAGCUUUGAAGUCAAUCAAAUGAUGAACCUGCUAAAACUGAUUAGCACAGGCUUGUCUCUGUGAAAACAGAGCUGGGAAUGCAGUGCUCUGAAGUGGAAAUGGCUGGAAAACUGAGGCUGUGGAGUCACAGAGGAGCGUGUGGAUCCCCUCUGAGCUGCAGCAAUGAGGGCAAGUGCAGGAGUAUUUAAAGCAGCUGAGUGUGCAUGCAGUGUUGCUCUUGCCAUUUGCUUUUGCAGUGUUUCCCGUUCUGCAGCUCUAAGCUCCUGAACCCCUGAGGUGCCUGGGGUUCUGAGCCUCACCUCUGGCAGAAGUUGGCGCUGAAUGUGUCAGAUGAAGUGCAAAAACCCUCGUAACGAACAAUAAUGGAAUAACAGGCUGGAGGGAAAGUUUCUGCCUAAUAGCCAGUGAUUAGUUCAAUAAAAGCAGAGCGUAAAACAACAAAUACAGGGAGAAAAUUGGCAGCAAGAUUAGCCCUGCUAUUACUGCAGAGAUCCAGCUACCAAGAGCCAAACAGAGCAGCAGCAGUACCCAUUGAAAUCAAUGACAUUUAUUCACAUCCUGUGGCAGCAGAAUGGAGUCCCCUAUCUACUUUCCUCAGCAGUGCUGUUGCAACAAGAUCAGUGAGGGUGAAGCAUGUGUACAUCUGUAAUUCUUGCUCUCGGUUUGAGUGCUCUUAACUGUCAUGACAAACUGUGAAAACAUCGCCAGUCUAUAAAAGUCUGCAGGUCCCUGUCAGAGGUAGAUACAGAGCCAAAGGCUGUGUGCAGGCGCUGGGACUGUUUGCUCGCCUCCACUCCCAUUUUAUCUCCUGCUGGCAGAUCAGUUCAUUCAGUGAAUCACCCUCAAAUGCAGUUACUUGUUCUCUGUUGUAUUUUGGGGUAGAAAUUGCCUAUUCAUUCCAUUUUCCUGUCCUGCCCUGCAUGACUAGUUACCACAUCAGGUUGUGGAGAAAGUCAGAUAUGUAGCCAGGGUUAGGGCUAAUUAAACUUUCAAAGAAUCACAGAAUCACAGCAUCAUAGAAUGAUUAAGGGUGGAAAAGACCACUAAGAUCAACAAGUCCAACUGCCAGCCCAUCACCACCAUGCCCACU